rnacentral:rRNA from 1 species
UACGUAGGGUGCAAGCGUUGUCCGGAAUUACUGGGCGUAAAGCGUGCGUAGGCGGUUUCAUAAGCUUGAUGUGAAAGCCCCGGGCUCAACCUGGGAAUGGCAUUGAGGACUGUGGAGCUAGAGUGCGGCAGAGGGAGGUGGAAUUCCACGUGUAGCAGUGAAAUGCGUAGAGAUGUGGAGGAACACCGAUGGCGAAGGCAGCCUCCUGGGCCGACACUGACGCUGAGGGCACGAAAGCGUGGGGAGCAAACAGG